rnacentral:rRNA from 1 species
UGUGUGUUAGUGGAAGCGUCUGGAAAGGCGCGCGAUACAGGGUGACAGCCCCGUACACAAAAAUGCACAUGCUGUGAGCUCGAUGAGUAGGGCGGGACACGUGGUAUCCUGUCUGAAUAUGGGGGGACCAUCCUCCAAGGCUAAAUACUCCUGACUGACCGAUAGUGAACCAGUACCGUGAGGGAAAGGCGAAAAGAACCCCGGCGAGGGGAGUGAAAAAGAACCUGAAACCGUGUACGUACAAGCAGUGGGAGCACGCUUAGGCGUGUGACUGCGUACCUUUUGUAUAAUGGGUCAGCGACUUAUAUUCUGUAGCAAGGUUAACCGAAUAGGGGAGCCGAAGGGAAACCGAGUCUUAACUGGGCGUUAAGUUGCAGGGUAUAGACCCGAAACCCGGUGAUCUAGCCAUGGGCAGGUUGAAGGUUGGGUAACACUAACUGGAGGACCGAACCGACUAAUGUUGAAAAAUUAGCGGAUGACUUGUGGCUGGGGGUGAAAGGCCAAUCAAACCGGGAGAUAGCUGGUUCUCCCCGAAAGCUAUUUAGGUAGCGCCUCGUGAAUUCAUCUCCGGGGGUAGAGCACUGUUUCGGCAAGGGGGUCAUCCCGACUUACCAACCCGAUGCAAACUGCGAAUACCGGAGAAUGUUAUCACGGGAGACACACGGCGGGUGCUAACGUCCGUCGUGAAGAGGGAAACAACCCAGACC